GGGUUAGACAUGGAAGAGGCAGCUGAUGGGAGAUGUCUUUCUCUUCUGCGCACUUCCUUUGUGAUCACCUCUGGUCACACUUCACCAACCCCACCACACGACCUGUCACAUCUCCUGAUGAAUCUGUGCAUUGCAAAUCAUCUUUCCAGGUUGUAUUAACUUUGCCUCUGUUGAUACUAACAGAAUUUUUUUUAAAGCCACUUAGUGGACUUCAACUCCUUUCAAAAUCCAGAUGCCCUCCAAGGGCUUGACUUCCUCAGAGUCUUUAGAAAUUCUCACUGUAAUUGACCUGUGAACC
rnacentral:lncRNA from 1 species